rnacentral:rRNA from 1 species
CGAAAGGCCUGCUAAUACCGGAUAAGCUCACGGCCUCGCAUGGGGCUGGGAGAAAAGGCGCUAGAGCGAUUGGCGCUGGCAGAGGAGGGGUCCGCGGCCCAUUAGCUAGUUGGUGAGGUAACGGCUCACCAAGGCGACGAUGGGUAGCCGGCCUGAGAGGGCGACCGGCCACACUGGGACUGAGACACGGCCCAGACUCCUACGGGAGGCAGCAGUCGGGAAUUUUGCACAAUGGCCGAAAGGCUGAUGCAGCAACGCCGCGUGAGCGAGGAAGGCCUUCGGGUUGUAAAGCUCUGUUGCCUGCGAAGAAGGGCCCUGUCAGGAAAUGGGCAGGGUUUGACGGUAGCAGGCGAGGAAGCCCCGGCUAACUACGUGCCAGCAGCCGCGGUAAUACGUAGGGGGCGAGCGUUGUCCGGAAUUACUGGGCGUAAAGGGCGUGUAGGCGGCCUGUUAAGUCAGGGGGUGAAACUCCGGGGGCUCAACCCCGGGCGUGCCUCUGAAACUGAUGGGCUUGAGUGCUCUAGAGGGCAGUGGAAUUCCCGGUGUAGCAGUGAAAUGCGUAGAGAUCGGGAGGAACACCAGUGGCGAAGGCGGCUGCCUGGGGAGUUACUGACGCUGAGGCGCGAAAGCUAGGGGAGCCAAACAGGAUUAGAUACCCCUGGGUAGUCCUAGCCCGUAAACGAUGAGUUGCUAUGUGUGAGGGGUAUCGACCCCCCUCGUGCAGUAGUUAACGCGAUAAGCACUCCGCCUGGGGAGUACGGCCGCAAGGCUGAAACUCAAAGGAAUUGACGGGGGCCCGCACAAGCAGCGGAGCAUGUGGUUUAAUUCGAAGCAACGCGUAGAACCUUACCAGGGCUUGACAUCCGCCGAAUCCUGCAGAAAUGCGGGAGUGCUCCUUCGGGAGAACGGCGAGACAGGUGGUGCAUGGUUGUCGUCAGCUCGUGUCGUGAGAUGUUGGGUUAAGUCCCGCAACGAGCGCAACCCCUGUCGCAUGUUGCCAGCACGUAAAGGUGGGGACUCAUGCGAGACUGCCGGUGACAAACCGGAGGAAGGUGGGGAUGACGUCAAAUCGUCAUGCCCCUUAUGUCCUGGGCUACACACGUGCUACAAUGGCCGUCACAGAGCGCCCCGAACCCGUGAGGGGGAGGCAAUC